rnacentral:rRNA from 1 species
ACGAAGGGGGCUAGCGUUGUUCGGAAUCACUGGGCGUAAAGGGCGCGUAGGCGGCUUUGUAAGUCGGGGGUGAAAGCCUGUGGCUCAACCACAGAAUUGCCUUCGAUACUGCAUGGCUUGAGACCGGAAGAGGUAAGUGGAACUGCGAGUGUAGAGGUGAAAUUCGUAGAUAUUCGCAAGAACACCAGUGGCGAAGGCGGCUUACUGGUCCGGUUCUGACGCUGAGGCGCGAAAGCGUGGGGAGCAAACAGGA